rnacentral:tRNA from 1 species
GGGGAUGUAGCCCAGUGGUAGAGCACAUGCUUUGCAUGUAUGGGGUCCUGGGUUCGAUUCCCGGCAUCUCCA